AACGCUAGCUACAGGCUUAACACAUGCAAGUCGAGGGGCAGCAGGGAUUUAGCUUGCUAAAUUCGCUGGCGACCGGCGCACGGGUGCGUAACGCGUAUCCAACUUUCCCGUUACUCUCGGAUAGCCUUCCGAAAGGGAGAUUAAUACGAGAUGGUGUUUUAAUUCCGCAUGUUAUUAGAACUAAAGAUUCAUCGGUAACGGAUAGGGAUGCGUGACAUUAGAUAGUUGGCGGGGUAACGGCCCACCAAGGCAACGAUCAGUAGGGGUUCUGAGAGGAAGGUCCCCCACAUUGGAACUGAGACACGGUCCAAACUCCUACGGGAGGCAGCAGUGAGGAAUAUUGGUCAAUGGGCGAGAGCCUGAACCAGCCAAGUAGCGUGCAGGAUGACGGCCCUAUGGGUUGUAAACUGCUUUUAUACAGGUAUAAAGUUAGCCACGUGUGGCUAUUUGUAGGUACUGUAUGAAUAAGGACCGGCUAAUUCCGUGCCAGCAGCCGCGGUAAUACGGAAGGUCCAGGCGUUAUCCGGAUUUAUUGGGUUUAAAGGGAGCGUAGGCCGUCUGUUAAGCGUGUUGUGAAAUGUAGAUGCUCAACAUCUGAAUUGCAGCGCGAACUGGCAGACUUGAGUGUGCGCAACGUAGGCGGAAUUCGUGGUGUAGCGGUGAAAUGCUUAGAUAUCACGAA
rnacentral:rRNA from 1 species